rnacentral:rRNA from 1 species
UGGGGAAUAUUGGACAAUGGGCGGAAGCCUGAUCCAGCAACGCCGCGUGAGGGAUGACGGCCUUCGGGUUGUAAACCUCUUUCAGUACCGACGAAGCGAAAGUGACGGUAGGUACAGAAGAAGGACCGGCCAACUACGUGCCAGCAGCCGCGGUAAUACGUAGGGUCCGAGCGUUGUCCGGAAUUAUUGGGCGUAAAGGGCUCGUAGGCGGUUUGUCGCGUCGGGAGUGAAAACAGCGGGCUUAACUCGUUGCUUGCUUUCGAUACGGGGCAGACUAGAGGUAUGCAGGGGGAGAAUGGAAUUCCUGGUGUAGCGGUGAAAUGCGCAGAUAUCAGGAGGAACACCGGUGGCGAAGGCGGUUCUCUGGGCAUUACCUGACGCUGAGGAGCGAAAGUGUGGGGAGCGAACAGGAUUAGAUACCCUGGCAGUCCACACCGUAAAACGUUGGGCGCUAGGUGUGGGGUCCUUUCCACGGAUUCCGUGCCGUAGCUAACGCAUUAAGCGCCCCGCCUGGGGAGUACGGCCGCAAGGCUAAAACUUAAAUGAAUUGAC